UUCCGCUCUUGAAAAAGCCUUGAUUCGCACUGGAAAAACGUACUGAAUGAACUAAAUUACAGUCAUUAUUCGCAAACUUCGAUGUUCUUUUGAAAUCAAAGAACAAGAACAAUCAAAGAAGUCAUCUGACAAUCAGACGAUCCAAAACAGCUAAAUCAAAAUUGCAGUUUUUUUCCAGAGGCCCGGAUAUGCCUCGAGGUAAUCAAUAAUACUCAGAAGUACACGUGGCGGGUGAAUACCGCGCCUGUCCCUUAUUCAGACCGAUGCAUGACAUCGUUUUCAGCCAAUCAUCGUCAUCGCAAGUAGGCCCUCGAAACUCAAUGACGACGUUUGAUUGGCCAAGAGUUGGAGUUUGCAGCAUCGUUUAUAAUCUUUCGGAAAGUUCUCAAAGGAACCAAAAGUUGUUCCUAGGACAGAAUAUUCAGAGAGUGUUGGAUGAAACACAAGUCGGGACAAGCUGCUGAAUAAUUUGCACACGGGCAACCAAUCGGUUGGACUUCAUUACAAAGAAUUUUUCACAAAUUUGGGUCACACCGUAAGUUAUAAGGGGAAUCAUGUCCAUCAUCGCUUCCGUAAGGACACACUGCAUAUGGAGCAGCGGGAGGCUAAAUGGAAAUCCACGUGAACUGGCCACUGCAUCUAGAAUAACAAGCCAUUACCGCGGAGCCAUCAUGGGUGCGUUCGAUUAGCUUACACGUGUAAGUCAACUUACACGAGAGCGUUCAUUUAGCCAUCAUGUGAUCUUCGUGCCCGCCCUGGUGUCACCCACCACUACCCCGGCUGGCGAGCGGUUCUCUGGAGGCUGCCCGAGGGUAAUGAUAUCACUGAUGGACUGGUCGAGCAUGGACAUGAUGGAACGAGGCGGGGGCUUGACUUUUUCCCAGAAUGCCUUGGCAAAUACACAGCAGCGUUCGAUCAGCCUCAUUUCGUGGCUUCCCUUGCGUGUAACACUGGUGUAUUCAGGGAAGCUAAUCGAACGCACCCCUUUCAAGCGCACACGCGCGCGUUGCAUUCCUUUCCGCCCGAUCGGGUGCCGUGAGCGGCCAGAGUGUGCGCGCGCUUAAGUUGAGGCAGGUGAGAGAGUACAGUGGCCCCGCAGGAGCAGCGUCACUUAAAGAUUUGUCAGCAAUCAAAACAGGGGAACCAAUAUUACAUUCAUGCUGCAUUAAUUUUGUCACAUCCACUCUUCAACGAAAAAAAAAUGAAAUUGGUUUGGUCACAAAUAGAAGCUGUCAUUCAUCAUGCCGAGGAAGAAAUGCAGAGAGCAGUAACUUUAUGAGCAUUUUAGCACUUUCAGUAAGAUCUCUUUUCAAGGAUGGUUUUUCCACAUUUUGAGCUUGAAAACGAAAAAAUGUAGCAUUCUAGCCACUUAGUUCUAGACCCUUAACUGACCUCCAGUAGCAUUAUUUUAUCGGGGUAUUGGCUAAAGAACUUUGGACACAAAAGGCCAGUGCAAUGUUCACGUCAUUGUGUGUAGUUCUUGUGCUUUUUGUUCGCAGCUUGUAAUGUCACUUCAAAAUACAUGCUGUAGACCCAGGCGCAGGGUUUUCUUUAAAUAAAAAACUGUCCAAUGAGAAAAUUUGAGUUGCCAGUUUCAACCGAAAAUUCCCAAAUGGUCAAGCAUUAAUCCCUGCAGCACCUGACACUAUUUGUCGGGAAAGUAUGGAAAAUUUGAGGUUUUCAAAACGUGAAUUUCCAAAAACAAAAGUCAGAUAUAUUCUUGCAUUUAAAAGGAGUAGCUCAUUCCACACAGCACGUUCCCAAGAAGAAUUUGACUUCAUGGACCCGUAAAAUACUGCGGAUUAUAGCAUUUAUAGGGACCUGAUGGUUCUGAUGGUCUUGGGUUCUCGAUGGAAGCGAUUUUCCAUACUUGAAAGUGCAACUGUAAUGCGGUGUAAUCAAUACGUGCUAUGAAACAGGAGGACAAACAAUAUUAUUCAUGAGUUGAAGGACGUUCGAAGGGCGGAGUAAACGCUGGGCUUCAUGCAUUUACAAGUCGUUCAAAUACAAGCACAAGUUGUUUUGCUAACGGCGAAAUAUUUUGUAAUCUAGUCAAACUAGGCCAUUGUUAAUGACUUAAUUUACAUGUAACUAAUUUUACUUGUCUCCUGGACAAUUCAGGUCCUCUCCAGGCAACUUCAGUUUCUUAAUCCGACUGAUUUCGCAGCCUCCAACACUAGCGAGCCUGUCACAAAGUAGCAGUUUCUCUUCUGAUGCCGUUAGCUUGUAACCAUCUACUCUUGUAUGCCAACUUAUUCUAGAGUUCCCAGUCACUAACUUAGUUUUGACAACAAAAAGCUUUCAGAAGAAAGAGUCAAUUUUUUCAUCGACCAGUCAAAAGUUCUGCUACAAAUCUCAUAAAAACUCGGGAAGCAAGAUGCACAGCAAACCAGUGCAAACUGAAGAGUGGCCGGUUCUAGCUAACACCCCCAGUGCAGUUGUUGGAAUUGGGUGUCGCACCACUGGAGGUGUCAACUCCCCCAAAGGAAGUCUGGGGUGUCUCGAUUCGGGGUAACGACAUAAUCAGCGAGGUUCCUCCAGAUAGAUGCCAAUAAGAAACAUUCCCUGACCCUGAUGAAUCUAACCACAGCAAGCUGGUGAAACACAAGGUGGCUUCAUCGACAGCAUUGACAAGCUUGACACCUUCUUCUCGAUUUCACCUGAGAAGCAAGUUCCCUUGUCAACUUUUACAUGGGCAUCGCACGCUCUGCUUUUGCCAACUGCAUACCCUUACGCCUUCGAUUUUCGUGGUCCCUCCUACGCAGUAUAGACACAGUCUAGUCUUCGUCCAUGACUGCCACGCACAAGCACUAGUGCGGUCAGAGUUGUCAAGAGAGGUUAUUUUAUGCAGAAAACUUAUUCUUGCCUACACCAGAAACGUCGACUGUGACAGUAUGGUACUCACGGCUGAUAUCAUCAUGCCGCGCGCAAACAAGUGGCAACCAGCCUUAGCAAAGACACUGCCAACGUCAAUCGUCUCAGACGUUUUUGAGAAGAGCAAUCUUCGUCAGACAUAUGGGGAUGAGAUGGAUGCCACUGAUAUCAAGCAGGUGUCCUUAAUGAUGUUGAGGGUGUCUGCGUCUCUUACAUCCGACACGCCCUUGAUACAGUACCACCUGAGGAAAGGGAACAAUCGGUUUCAAACCAUUGUCAAGAAUGCUAGCAGCAAAGUUGCCGAGUAUACAGAAGCUGCCAAGCACAAGAUCCGAGUCAUGGUGGUUCAGGCUGCAGAUUGGAGGACUGACUCGCUUCAUCGCUGAUUCAUUAAACGAUUUGGGAACUGAAGAGAAAAUGGAGAGUCUUCAUUGAUGUGAGUACCACCUUCCAGCAAACUCAGGAGAACCUCCAGGAGUUUCCAUUUAUCCAGUGCAAACAGGUGCACAUCGAGGAGGAUGUCAAAGAUUAAGCAUUUUUUCCCUGGUAGAUUCAAUGUUAUAGUCUGUAUCGAUACCCUAUAGGCAUAUACAGAUUUCAAGCGAAGCAUGGGGUUCAUGGCUGACCUAAUCACUGCAAAUAGGUUGAUGUUUAUCAUGGAGGGAACCAACACACACUACCUGACUGAUCUGUGGUUUGGGGCUCUUGAUGUCUGUUGGGUUGUUUGAUGACUUUCGUAAGGAACGCUGCUGGAUGUCUCUCCAAGCCUGGUUGGAAACCAUGGAGAAAGUUGGUCUCAGAGAAAUUUCAUCAGCAUCCUCGCCAAAUGAAUUCAUCCACUGUGUCCUUGUAGGAAGAAAGCCUUCAGUCUCACAGCAUCACCGAAUGAUCAUCCAGCAAGACAAGAUAGUGCAAGACAGCAAAACAGGUUCUCAUCAGAGUUCCUUCCUCACUGUCAUGGUGGGGUCCAGAUCAGCAACCUUUCCGAGGCCAACUCUCCGGGUCGUGUUCUCAGCGAGCAUACAGACAGCCCAACAGAGGUGAUGUACAUCUGCAACAAAGACGACUCCCGGCCGCAUGCGCUCUUAAAACUCUUUAAGGCAAUAUAAUCAAACUCUACAAUUGUAAAAUGAAUAUUGGUUGUCACAAAGGGAGGAAAUACGGAUUCAUCUCGUCCAAAUGGAUUCCUGGCUGUUGGCUAAACCAGGGCAGUAGGCAGAUUCCAGGCGUGCCCGUUUUUCUGUAGAUUUGAAUCCUCAAAACUCUCUAGCAGAAAAUGUCCAUGAAGUUUUGAAGCUGAUGGACGACUCUGAUCAUGAGGAACAAGAGCUUGUAAUCCGAUAGAAUCUGAGGUUUGUUCGACGGGUUAUGAAUCAAGACCUAGUGGGGCAAGACCACACAACCCAUGGAAUGGUGAUUGGAGCAGCAUUAGGAAGCAAAGCAGGCAAAGGGGGCUUCUGUUUGGGAGGUCCCAUCAGGAUAUGUUAAGAUUAAAGUCAAGACAGCCCCUUAAACUUCAAGACAAGGAAGAGACUGUCAGAGUUCUGGCCAUGAACAUCAGCUACACAUUGAUGAGUUCUUGUAGCAGUGGGCCAGCUUCUAUCUAGGAAGAUCUCCCGUAUAUCUGCGUUGCACAUCAGGACUGGGGAGCGACACAGCAAUUCUGGUACAAGAACACGCUGAAAUUCCACCGCUUGGCGGCACACAACUCCAAAUUAGCCAGUGGGGAGG
rnacentral:lncRNA from 1 species